rnacentral:rRNA from 1 species
UACGAAGGGAGCUAGCGUUGUUCGGAAUCACUGGGCGUAAAGCGCACGUAGGCGGAUGUGUCAGUCAGGGGUGAAUCCCGGAGCUCAACUUCGGAACUGCCCUUGAUACAGCACGUCUUGAGUCCGGAAGAGGUGGGUGGAAUUCCUAGUGUAGAGGUGAAAUUCGUAGAUAUUAGGAAGAACACCGGUGGCGAAGGCGGCCCCACUGGUCCGGUACUGACGCUGAGGUGCGAAGCGUGGGGAGCAAACAGG